rnacentral:rRNA from 1 species
GUGUCAGCCGCCGCGGUAAUACAGAGGGUGCAAGCGUUAAUCGGAAUGACUGGGCGUAAAGCGUGUGUAGGUGGUUAGAUAAGUUAGAUGUGAAAUCCCCGGGCUUAACCUGGGAACUGCGUUUAAGACUGUUUAACUAGAGUACUGUAGAGGAUAGUGGAAUUUCCAGUGUAGCGGUGAAAUGCGUAGAUAUUGGAAGGAACACCAGUGGCGAAGGCGACUAUCUGGACAGAUACUGACACUGAGACACGAAAGCGUGGGGAGCAAACAGGAUUAGAUACCCCCGUAGUCC